CCUACGGGGGGCAGCGGUGAGGAAUAUUGGUCAAUGGACGAGAGUCUGAACCAGCCAAGUAGCGUGAAGGAUGACUGCCCUAUGGGUUGUAAACUUCUUUUAUAUGGGAAUAAAAUGUUCCACGUGUGGGAUUUUGUAUGUACCAUAUGAAUAAGGAUCGGCUAACUCCGUGCCAGCAGCCGCGGUAAUACGGAGGAUCCGAGCGUUAUCCGGAUUUAUUGGGUUUAAAGGGAGCGUAGGUGGAUUGUUAAGUCAGUUGUGAAAGUUUGCGGCUCAACCGUAAAAUUGCAGUUGAAACUGGCAGUCUUGAGUACAGUAGAGGUGGGCGGAAUUCGUGGUGUAGCGGUGAAAUGCUUAGAUAUCACGAAGAACUCCGAUUGCGAAGGCAGUUCACUGGACUGCAACUGACACUGAGGCUCGAAAGUGUGGGUAUCAAACAGGAUUAGAUACCCCAGUAGUC
rnacentral:rRNA from 1 species